AGUGAACGCUGGCGGUGGGCCUAACACAUGCAAGUCGAACGGCAGCACAGUAAGAGCUUGCUCUUGCGGGUGGCGAGUGGCGGACGGGUGAGGAAUACAUCGGAAUCUACUUUUUCGUGGGGGAUAACGUAGGGAAACUUACGCUAAUACCGCAUACGACCUACGGGUGAAAGCAGGGGAUCUUCGGACCUUGCGCGAUUGAAUGAGCCGAUGUCGGAUUAGCUAGUUGGCGGGGUAAAGGCCCACCAAGGCGACGAUCCGUAGCUGGUCUGAGAGGAUGAUCAGCCACACUGGAACUGAGACACGGUCCAGACUCCUACGGGAGGCAGCAGUGGGGAAUAUUGGACAAUGGGCGCAAGCCUGAUCCAGCCAUACCGCGUGGGUGAAGAAGGCCUUCGGGUUGUAAAGCCCUUUUGUUGGGAAAGAAAAGCAGCAGGUUAAUACCCCGCUGUUCUGACGGUACCCAAAGAAUAAGCACCGGCUAACUUCGUG
rnacentral:rRNA from 1 species